AUCCAUUGAGUUAACACUGAUUUCUGUUUUUUUUUCUUUCUUUGCCCCCCUCCCUCAAAAAAGGUAAAACUGCUUGAGCUGUACAAGGCACCAGCAACAGACUAUGCCAUUGUUCAGGUGGACCAGGCAUUAGUUUAUCUGGCUGACCUUUUAAGUAUUUGCCCACAACGUCUCCUAGAAGAUGACCUCCACACCUCAUAUCCAUGGCUUACAGAUGAUGCAGUGAAUGCGAGAGUUCUCCAGCUGGCAAGACCUCUGGAGAAUGCGUUUACUUUGCAAACAUUUAAUUUCACGGCUUGGUGGAGGAAUUGGAUAAAUGGGGAAUCAAUCAGCUUCCGCCAUUUGCAUUGCAUCCAGG